CGUGCUGCCCCCUGCCGGCCGCCAGGCAGCGCCCGCCACGGGACCCGCCGGGAAACGGCCCCUGGUUUGGAAAGCUGCACAGCAGGAUUUUCCCGUGCGCUGCUCUUCUUCCCUGCCUCUGAAACGUUUCUUUUUCGAUUGCUGCUAACAACAGGCUUGAGCGGGCCCCGGAGAAGCUCGUGAGGUUCAAAAUACGGAAGGACAAGGUGUAGCACCUGGGAAUGGCGACCCCUGCUACCAAUGCCUGACAGGGGAUGUAAGGAUGGAGCGCAGCUCCGCUGGAAAGGACUUGGGGUACUACUGGUGGAUGGCAGCUGGACAUGAGCCAGCUGUGUGCCCUCACAGCCCAGAAAGCCAGCCGUACCCUGGGCUGCAUCAAAGGAAGCGUGGCCAGCAGGGUGAGGGAGGCGAUCCUGCCCCUCUGCUCUGUGCUGGUGAGGCCUCACCUGGAGCACUGCGUCCAGACGUGGAGUCCUCAGUACAGGAGAGACGUGGAGCUGUUGGAGCGCGUCCAGAGGAGGGCCACAGAAAUGAUCCCAGGGAUGGAACAGUUCUCCUGCGAGGAUAGGCUGAGAGCUGGGGCUGUGCAGCAUGGAGAAGGGGCAGAGCAUUGACAAACAGGAGUAAGUUCAGUGGAGAACUACCAGGAUGGUUGGGGCUGGAACACUUAUCCUGGGAGGAAAGGUGAAGGAACAGGAACUACUCAUCCUUCGAAGGGUCCUCGUGGCAGUUCCCUGUCUAUAGUGAGGCUUCUGAGGAGACGUUAAGCAAGGCUCUUGACAGUGAUGUGUGCUGGGAGGACAAGAGAAAACAGGGCUAAUUUCAAACAAGAGGCCCAUUCCAUUAGCCUGUCCUGCCUUUCUCUUUCCCAUGGAUUGUGCUCUUUAACAGCCUUUUGUACUGAUCAAAGGACAGAGGCUCAGGAGUUGGGAAGCUGAAGCUCCUGUGAACCACUCUUUCCUGUGGUCUGGGAAAUAACACUGAGCUGCAUCAGAACUUGGCCCCGACUCAAAAGCUUGGGGAGGUGAUUAAUACAUUUUUUUUAAUAUAAAUGUGGAAAUCCAUUUAGGGAACAGCAAUUGAAAUUCGUUAGCAUUGCAGGAUUUUCAGUUUCUGUGCUAGAAGCCACCUGUAGAAUGCUAGUUUUUAUCUGAAGAUUUAAAUGAUCAAGUAAGAUUUUGGAUAUUUUUUCAUGUCAAACUCCUCAGAUACUGUAACACGUAGGUAUUUAUGACUUAUAUGUGUUGUGUUUAAACUUCCAUUCUGUUUCCUGAGAAGCCAGCCUUACCAGUCAAAACAACCCAAGCUGUUUGAUUGCCUUCAGCCAUGUCUGCUUCCACCUCUGCUGCCAGCAGCCACGGAACGUGGCAGCAUUUGAGGAGCAGCCAUUCUCUCCCUUUCACGUGUACAGCAAGGACACAGUCCUCAACAGCUGAGAAGAGUAAGGGUCCUCAUCCAAAAAGAGAACAAUGAAGUAGAUGGAAGCAAUUACAGCUUUUCUUUUCUUUUUCUUUUUAAUUUGAUAUCAAGGUGUCCUUUACAAGCAAGGCAUGUGCUGAUCUUUAUCAAACAAAUAAAUAAAUAAAACUGGCAUCCAAACUCUUUUUGAGGAAGAAACUGCAGUUUUCCUGAGCCAGAGAAGAUGGAGUUGUAUGCAACUGGCACAAGUGUCCACGCUUGGAUGAUUGCAGGGAUCUUUGCAGCUAAAAGAAUGAAGGCAGUUGCCUGCUUCAGAAAUGUCAAAGCAAAAACCUAGCCAGAAACAGUUUGCCUGAGGUCACUGGAUCAUAGCAAAGCAUGGAAAAUGGAUGCUAUCAGUCAAGUCACACUUGUAACUUCAGUCCUAGCACUGCUCAUCUCCUGCAGGUCUGCUAGAACAGAAUUAUCUACCAGUUUCAAGCAGCAGUGCAUUUCAUAUUUAUAUUUAUUUCCAUGGAGACAACAACGGAUACAAACAGCACAAUGAUACUAUUUGAUGGAGCAAAUUCUCAGCUACCAAAAAACCUCUUUUUCUACAGUAGCUGAAUCGUGUGGAUGAACUGAUCAGGAUGAUCCUUGUUUUGUGGCAUGACAGCUGUGCAUGGCUGUCUGGAACACGGCUUGUAUUUCACAUUGCUGUCACCACUGCUGAAACACACCACCCAGCCCCUCACUGUGCUCACAUUUAUUGUUUGGGCUCCAUAAAUGCUCAGCAAGCAUUGAUGAAUGUCAGUGGGUGCCAUUUUUUCUGCAUGAAGGAAUGCAAUGACACAACUUUGCUCCAUCCACACUUCCAUGCCAGACAUCAUUCUGUCAGACUACCCCUUUGCUGCCAUCUGUCACAGAACAACAGCAUGGGAUGGGAUAUUGGUGGGAAGGUUCAGCCUCUACUGCCACAUCUCCAACAUCAGCUUCUGAUGUCAUAGGCCAACAAAACAGGAGAAAUCAGCAACCAUGGAUACGCAAUGAAGAACACUGUGCUCUCCACUCACCGAAGUCUUGAGCUGUUUGAGUGGUGCUGGUGUGCUGAGACACGGGGAAAGACAGCUCUUCUCCUCCUCAUUUGUUCCUCAAGUGCUAUUCACUUCCCAAGGACUUAUGGUAUAUUUUGCACAUAAGUCUACAAAGGAAAAAUAAAACAAAACAACAACAAGAAAACAUUGCUGGCCAUCUGUUUCUCCUGGUGUUGAGGCAACAAGUCUCCUUGUCACUACUCUCCAAGAUGCUCUUCAGAGACAGG
ensembl:lncRNA